CAAAAUUGGGUGAGGGGAAAGAAGGAAGAGAGCAAGAAAAUACAAGAGGGGGAAAAUAUCUGAGUAAAUAUGGUGCUAGCACUCCAAAUCCAACAACAAACAUUUAUUAACCACCUAUUACGUGCAAGGCACUGAAGACACAAAAAAUAGAUGCUGGGCUUCUUGGAAUGUGAGACUCCAAAAUCAAAGUCGUCAAUAUCUUCCCAGCUAUCUCCAGUUUUGAGCACAGUC